GAUUGCAAUUCUUCCUUUCCCGCUAGCAGUGUAGAUUCUCUGUUGUCAAGAACAGUGUGCUUACUUUAUUUGGGUCAUCCUCACUAUGGUCCUCAUGAGUGUGUUUUGUUCUGCUCCAGAGAAUCAUUCCUAGCCCCCACCUCCCAAGAACAGGACUUACUUCAGAAGAGUCAGGAAAAAUUGCAGGAACUACCCAUUUGGAACCAGGCACUUUAAACUCACUGUAUUUGUGGCGCCUCCAAACAUGUUAUUGGCCCUGCAUCCCUUAUAACAGCUGUUUUUCAGCUGGUCUCAGUCCUCAUGGCAGUCAGUUGGUGGUGGUGCCUGGUACCUUUUCUCAAAAUUCCAAAACUUCACAGUCUCAACAAGAUUAAGGAGUCCUGGUCUAAAGUCUGCCUGCCAUGAACAUGUUACAACACAGAAGAUGCUAGAUUCCUUCACCCUAAUUAAGCAGCUGGUAAGGACUAUAUAAAAGAAGCCAUGGUCCUCAGUCAGCAAGGCUGUUAACUAAAGGACAUUAAUUCAUAAGGUUGCUUAUAUGUUAAUUCAUAGGAUUGCUACGCAAGUCAGAAGCGAUUUGAUGGUAUUUAACACAAGAAGGUGCUACCCAGCAAAAUGUUACCAUCCAACAGGGACAUCUGGGGAGGUCGCUCUCUCUCAGCUCUGUCCGUGUGGCGUAUGGGAGCUUAGGGUUUCAUGCCCCAUGAUGUAGAGUCCCAUUCCACGCUGUUGGAGAGCAAGUCGGGCCCACGGGUCUGCAGCCUGCAUAUUCCUACUGCUUCUCUGAGUCUUUGGACGGUGACUGAGGAGAUAAACCAUGCAGGAGACACUGG